UGAGAACGUCACAGCCAAGAAUUUCAUACCAUUCGGGGUAGGCAUGACGUCAUGUGCAGGAGCAGAUUUCAGCAAGGUUCUCAUGGCUGUUUUCUUUCAUGCCUUGGUCACGAAAUACAGGUGCACUGCUAUCAAGGGAGGCGAGGUGAUUCGGUCCCCUGCUUUAGGAUUCGGAAAUGGUUUUCACAUUCAGGUUGAA